AAAAAGUUGAAAUCUGACAGAUGUUUUUCACUGAGCUCUUCCUGAAGCAGCAGACUGCUGGGGCUGAGCCAGUGCUGCAGACCUGGGAAAACCUGCAGCAUGUAGUGCUUUUGGUUGUCCAAGGCUGCUUCCUUCCAGGGGGCACAUCCUGCAGCACAGCCCACUCCUGCAUGCUGUGUCCUAGUGCUCAUUCUGGGAUGCAUCAUUCUGGGAUGCAUCCUUGGCCUCUGCUUCCCUGACCACAAGAUUUCACACACUAUUUGGACAGCAGGAAGAGCUUCCCGCUCUUCUCAAGAUGAAAGAAUGAAAUCUGCUCAUAGAUAACUAAAAGGCAGAGGGAGAGGCAUCUCCAGGAUGUGCAGCUGCUCAGAAGCACAGACGGAGAGAUGCACCACCCUCCUCGAGGCUAGAGCAAUAUUGGGCGAGCCCAUGAGAUGUCAACUUUCCAGCUGGAGAAAAGUAGCACAUGGCCGUUGGAGGAACAGGAGUCAACAUGGUGUCAGGGUGCAAGCUGGAGAUAUGAGAGCUGGAGCAGUGGCUGUGCAGAAUGCUGUUACAGGGAAAAUAACAGUGUACUAAUGCAUGUAGGAGAGAAACAUCUAUAUGGCAGAGAAAGGAACGAUGAUUUGGGCAAUGUAGGAACCAUGCUGCAGCGCAAAGGCAACAGACAAAGCAGCCAGAGGGAAGGUCGUGGUCCUCUGUGCCACAUGAAGGGCUCAGUUCUGCUGGCAGCAGCAACAGAAAUUCAGAGAGCAGCAAGAACUCAGCAGUCAAGAAAUGCACGUUAUAGGAAAUUCCCAUCCAGCCAGGCGUGCAGCAGUGCCCAGUGCGGGGACACAACCCUGGACAGCAGUCUCCAGUAACAGUGCUGAGGUCAGCAGCAACCCUGAAGCAGCAUCAGCCAGGAGAAAGGCCACUUGUUCACCUGGCAGUCUUCUUUCUGAUCAGUACAAAACCAUAUUCUGAAAGCCACCUGCUUCCAAACUGCCCACCCCUCCCCCCACGGCCCCGUAACCCAGCCAAGUACUGCUGCAGGGAUUCUCAGAUGCUUCUCCCGUCUCUCAGAAGGAAGGGCACACACCAGUCACCCAGCCUGACCUCUGUAAUAUGUCAACCCCUCUAACUCCUGUGUGCACAUAUGGGUGACACAGGAGCACUCCAAGGCUGCAGGCUGGCUGCCAAGCCACAGCAGCUGCCUUCAAGGAGCAGAAGCUGUGUGGGAGCAGGAGGACAUACAUCCUCAGUCGCUCCUAUUUCUUGCCGGCGUGCAAUGAGGGAAGGCAGGGACUCUCGGCCCUCCUUUGGGACAUGUGAUGUCAGCAGAAAGCCAUCGCUCCUUCGCCAGCACCGCUGGCACCUCAGCUCCUGUGACCCAGCAUCCUCCCAGCCAUCUCCCAACAGCCCUCCCCUGCGCAGUCUGCUUUGCGCACAGCCCUGUGCCCUUUCCAAUUAAAGAGACCCGCUCUUCUCUCC